GAUGAACGCUAGCUACAGGCUUAACACAUGCAAGUCGAGGGGAAACGAUAUUGGAAGCUUGCUUCCGAUAGGCGUCGACCGGCGCACGGGUGAGUAACGCGUAUCCAACCUGCCCACCACUUGGGGAUAACCUUGCGAAAGUAAGACUAAUACCCAAUGAUAUCUCUAGAAGACAUCUGAAAGAGAUUAAAGAUUUAUCGGUGAUGGAUGGGGAUGCGUCUGAUUAGCUUGUUGGCGGGGUAACGGCCCACCAAGGCGACGAUCAGUAGGGGUUCUGAGAGGAAGGUCCCCCACAUUGGAACUGAGACACGGUCCAAACUCCUACGGGAGGCAGCAGUGAGGAAUAUUGGUCAAUGGGCGAGAGCCUGAACCAGCCAAGUAGCGUGCAGGAUGACGGCCCUAUGGGUUGUAAACUGCUUUUAUAAGGGAAUAAAGUGAGAGUCGUGACUCUUUUUGCAUGUACCUUAUGAAUAAGGACCGGCUAAUUCCGUGCCAGCCGCCGCGGUAAUAC
rnacentral:rRNA from 1 species